rnacentral:rRNA from 1 species
AACGAACGCUGGCGGCAGGCCUAACACAUGCAAGUCGAACGCCCUAGCAAUAGGGAGUGGCAGACGGGUGAGUAACACGUGGGAACCUUCCCUAUAGUACGGAAUAUACCAGGGAAACUUGGAGCAAUACCGCAUACGCCCGAGAGGGGAAAGAUUUAUCGCUAUAGGAUGGGCCCGCGUAGGAUUAGCUAGUUGGUGAGGUAAUGGCUCACCAAGGCGACGAUCCUUAGCUGGUGUAGAGAACGACCAGCCACACUGGGACUGAGACACGGCCCAGACUCCUACGGGAGGCAGCAGUGGGGAAGUAAUUGGUACAAUGGGCGGCAAGCCUGAUCCAGCCAUGCCGCGUGAGUGAUGAAGGCCUUAGGUUGU